GACAGAGGAUGCAAGCGUUAUCCGGAAUUAUUGGGCGUAAAGCGUACGUAGGCGGUUUAGCAAGUCAGGGGUUAAAGCCCGCAGCUUAACUGCGGAUCGGCCUUGGAAACUGAAAGGCUAGAGUAUGGUAGGGGUUGCGGGAAUUCCCGGUGUAGCGGUGAAAUGCGUAGAUAUCGGGAAGAACACCUGGGGCGAAAGCGCUCUACUGGGCCAUAACUGACGCUGAGGUACGAAAGCUAGGGGAGCGAAUGGG
rnacentral:rRNA from 1 species